AUACUUACCUGGCAGGGGAGAUACCAUAAUCAUGAAGGUGGUUUUCCCAGGAUGAGCCUUAUCCAUUGCACUCCUGAUGUGCUGACCCCUGUGACUCCCCCAAUUGUGGGAAACUCAACUGCAUAAUUUGAGGUAGUAGGAGACUGCAUUUGUGCUCUCCCCUG
ensembl:snRNA U1 U1 spliceosomal RNA